rnacentral:rRNA from 1 species
GUUGACCUCGGAUCAGGUAGGGAUACCCGCUGAACUUAAGCAUAUCAAUAAGCGGAGGAAAAGAAACCAACAGGGAUUGCCCUAGUAACGGCGAGUGAAGCGGCAAC